UUUUUUUUUUUUCUAAUUUCGAGAUCGUGGGUACUUGGGAGGAGAUGUCGGUUUCGCACUUUCGCCCAGCUCACCACCCCCUCCGGCGCACGAGGCCAGCUCGCCGCCAACCUCUGCCGCGCGAGCCUAGUUUCGCCGCCGCCGAGGGGCCUCCUUGCGCCGUCUCGCUCCCCAUCCUCUCACCCUCUCAGCUCCCCGUCGCUACUGGUGAUGACGGUGGAAGAUGAAGCGUGCCUGCUGCGCCUGGAGGAGCAGGCGGAGCACAACGAUGGCGGCGCCUGGGACUACCUCUGCCUCGCCCGCCGGUUCUGCGCCCGCCGUCCCACGCGCCCACGUCCUCCGCGUCAGCCUUGCCCUCCUCAACAAUGUCUCCGCGUGCUCCGGCCUCGACUCAGAACAGUGGUCGUUCUGCAAGCAGGUGGCCAUGGAUUGCCAGCGUCUCGAUGUGGCAAAGGACUAUAUUGGAAUCCUUUCAAAGCAAUCUCCUAGCAGCACAAUGGUUGUUAACUCCCAGAGAAAGGAAUGGCAACUCUCCUGGCGAUGUCGCUGCUGUUAGCCCACCGCCGUUGCCGCCUCUCCUGCGUGUGCUCCCUCCAACACUGCUGGCAGAUACAGGUGCUCCUCCUCCAAAUCCCCUUCCCCAACUAGACAUGCACCAUCUCCUACUCCUCCCCCUUCCCUUUCUUGAUCCAAUUUGAUGAUUCUAGUGCCGGAUGUGUUCCCUGCGGCCUCUUCAGUUGCAGCAAGGUGAGAUUGUUUUGUUUGCCAAUGCUAGUUCAAUGCAGCUUUCAGUUACUCAUGGGAAAGGAUUUGGUGCUCUAAUUCCCAACUAGUAGCGUCAAUCAGGAUAUUAUAUGUUUCUAGAUGCAAACCCAAGUUCAUUGAAAUGUCUGGCUUUGGAUGCUUGUUCCUGUAGAAUAUAUAUGCAUUUUAAUUAGGAUUAUCGCAUAUAAAUGCAAACAUGGCCUUCAUUGAUUUCCUGAACCUGCUGCACAAAUAUUCAGAAAUAUUCUUUUCUAGCAAGGGUAUUUGCUACUAGGUUUGCUAAAAUCCUGAAAUGAAGUGUCUGCUUUUCCCAAAUAGUAUUUUCAUUCUAAUCUAUACUAUAAUUGAAAUCUUUUCCAGGCAAAUCCCACCUGCAAGAUCAACGACUCACAACACAUGUCCUAUAGAUUUAACGGCCUAGAUUAGAAGUAUGAUCACGACCUUACACACCCUCAGCCUCGCGUCAAAUCAAACCUCCGUCAGCCGUGUCGCGGGAUCGAUUCUUCCAAUCGCAUAAAUAAAAGAAAACCUCCGUGAAUACUAAAAAAAGGCUGCAACCUAAUGCUGUGGGAUCGAUUCUUGCCGAUCGCACACUAGCAAAAAAUCUACGUCAAUUACUCGCUCCUUAGGAAAUCCACCUCUGUCAACGAGUCAAGCACGAUUCAAUUUUUGAAUAGACCAUAAUUUCCGCCUCCUUCAUCUACCACAACUGACGCUCGGCCGUGGAGGACCGUCGUCGGGCUGGUGCCGUAGCCAGGUCGCAUGAUCCACCUCCGUCUUCCAGCGAUCGCCGCGCUUGGGAUUUCAAGGCAUUGACUGUAUCACGUCGUCUUUGUCAUCACCGUCGACCUCCUUCGCCGGAACCAUGUUCGACGCCAACAGGGAUCUCUGAACGUCGCAUGAAGAACCAGGUCUUUCCUUCAUUCGUAUCUUGCUUUCCUCAUCGCUGUGUAUGCAUGGAUCGGAGGUGCAGUUGUGCAUUCCACUGUGCUUCUUCUACUACUGCAAAAAAAAUAUUUCCGAACUAUAAUUUUUGUUUUUAGAAGCAUCCCAAAAUUAAGCCGUAGCGUUAGCACGGGUAUUAUACAGUAGUAGUAAAAAAAACAAUAAUAGUGGUAAUACGUAGUAGUACCACCAUCCGUCAAAUACCCAAGAAAGAAUUGACAAUACGAGGUGUAUUCAGAGGUGACAUAAGGCGUCUUGCAUGUACUGUACGGGUCAAUUCAUACUGAAGGUGGACACCAAACACUAUUUGAGGAAACAAAACUGUGUCAUGACACGUGAUUUGUGGAGGAGGCCGCUGCCCGCUGGUCACGUUCCGUCCGGCUCACACUAGUUUACUUAAUUAGCUGAAGGUGUCCAUCUAGAGUUUACUAACUGAUUGUGUACAUAAUCAGUAUUUAAUCUUCUAGCUUUUCCCAGGUCAUUUUUUGUAUUUGUUGUCUGCACAUCUACAGUGGUUGUGCUAAAUAACGAAAUUAUUAUGAUUUUUUCCUGCCAUGGAACAUGAAGGACUAAAUGGCUACUGAUUUUUAGAUCUUAUUUUGGGCACGUCAAGUUUGGUAGAAGGGCAGGAGAAAGAAUGAUGAUUAUGUUGUAAAUGGAUAGGUACUAAACUCAGAGAAGGGCAGGAGAAAGAAUGACUCAUGCUGACAUGUAUAUUUGCACUAGCCUACUCAGUGCUAAUGUUUUGUUUGAAAUAUAGUGGUUGAGAAAGUCACAGAUUCUCUAUGAGGUAGCACAUGGAGACGAGGAUGGCACCGCGACCACAGGCGACGAGGACAGCGGCAAGCAGAUCUCAACCCUCAUCUCGGCCCCUGUCGGACAGUGCUAAUGAUGGUGACCAUAGCACAAACCCGUGCGCUUCCCAUCGCGCAUGUUGAACCCUAUUGAGGAGCAGAGGCAGCCCCGUGUUCGAUCCAUUUCUCCUUGCGAUGUGUGAUGGUGUGGCCGGAGCUUCACGACGUCAACCCCAUCCUCGCAGCUCUCCUCCAGGCGCGGCCACUAGAGUGGAUCUCUCUCUGCACCAUGCUAGAUCUGGAGGUGGAUGCAGGCAUGUUUGUCUGGAGGAGAAUAACUGAGGCAAAUCGUUAAUCAAGCCCAAGAUGGAUCGACACGAGGGUUGGUGCAAUAUCAAUGUAGGUUGAUUAACGAUCUGCCUACAACAAUGUUGCUGUCUUAAGAAAUGAAUUGUUUGUCUUCUUUGUCAAAUAUAUGUUGUUUCAUUAGAUUUUGCAGACUAAACAACAACAUUUGGUUGCACGGAGAACUACAGGAUGCCUGUAGAUAGGAAUCACAGCAUGCUAACACUCCUAUGCAUGCACGAACAUAAAGCUGAAUGCUUCCAAUACAGGCAAGCUCUAAUGAGCUAGAAGAUUUUGUGGCAGCAUGGUACAGAAUGCAUCAACCAUAGUAAUCAGCUGGAGUCCCCAAGCUGCGCUAAACAAUCAAUAGCCUUGCAAAACACAAACAGGAAAUCUGCAAGCAGAGAACUCUAACUUGGAAGACCAAGUGCACUACGGAGGUCAAAUGCAACAUAUAUCUUUUUGAAUGUCACUGAUUAUGCCUUUGCACACUUGCAGAAUCAACAAUGACUGACUACUUUCAGUUUUCAAAGAUAAAAACACAUUACAAAAUUCGGGUCUUGACAGAAUGCAGGCAAAGAAAACAACACGAGCUGACACCUCCAAACAGAAGCCAAUAGCAAAUGAAUUAGCCUUACACUCUUUUCUUUGAAACAGGGAAGUUGAAUUUGCUUAAGGAGAACCCACAGCAUGACUUCCCCAGGAGCAGCUUUAGACUAGUCUUAGACUAUUGGCAUUUGAUUGAUUUCUGAAAAAAAAACAUAUUGAUUUACUAUUUGCAUGUAUGAUUAUUGUGAGUUAUACCCUUCAUGCACAUAUAAUAUAUUUGGCCGGCUCUUUAUUGGAACAAA